AUGGAUAAAACUCAAGACCUUCAGGGUCUCGGUGCUCCUGGAAGAAUUCAAGCUCCGUUCCGUUCAUUGUCACCCUCGAGAUUGGCCAAACUCCUUUCUUUUCUUAGUUUUGGUUAUGCCCACACUUUCUUAAAUACCAGGGACAGUCUCAGCGGGCGUGCAGUGCGGGAAAGGAAAUCAAGACUGCUUUCUGUCUCUCUGUCUCCAUCCCUCUGUCUCCAUCUCUCUGUCUCCAUCUCUCUCUGUCUCCAUCUCUCUGUCUCCAUGUCUCUGUCUGCAUCUCUCCCUGUCUCUAUCUCUCUGUCUCCAUGUCUCUGUCUGCAUCUCUCCCUGUCUCUAUCUCUCUGUCUCCAUCUCUCUGUCUCCAUCUCUGUCUCCAUCUCUCUGUCUGCAUCUCUGUCUCCAUCUCUCUGUCUCCAUCUCUCCCUGUCUCCAUCUCUCCCUGUCUCCAUCUCUCCCUGUCUCCAUCUCUCUGUCUCCAUCUCUCUCUGUCUCCAUCUCUGUCUGCAUCUCUCUCUGUCUGCAUCUCUCUGUCUGCAUCUCUCUCUGUCUGCAUCUCUCUCUGUCUGCAUCUCUCCCUGUCUGCAUCUCUCCCUGUCUCCAUCUCUCAGUCUCCAUCUCUCUGUCUCCAUCUCUCUGUCUCCAUCUCUCUGUCUGCGUCUCUCUCUGUCUGCGUCUCUCUCUGUCUGCGUCUCUCUCUGUCUCCAUCUCUCUCUGUCUCCAUCUCUCUCUGUCUCCAUCUCUCUCUGUCUCCAUCUCUGUCUCCAUCUCUGCCUCCAUCUCUGUCUCCAUCUCUCUGUCUGCAUCUCUGUCUGCAUCUCUCUCUGUCUCCAUCUCUCUGUCUGCAUCUCUCUGUCUCCAUCUCUCUGUCUGCGUCUCUCUCUGUCUGCGUCUCUCUCUGUCUGCGUCUCUCUCUGUCUGCAUCUCUCCCUGUCUGCGUCUCUCCCUGUCUGCAGUCUACGUGGAACUGGUCGCAUGCCUUCCCACAUGCUGCUUCCAGGGUGCCCUGGUCUCAGCUCACUCUGUCACGUGCUGCUCUGUGGUCUUCUCCUACCCUGA
rnacentral:lncRNA from 1 species